ACUAGUAUAUAAUUUGAGGACAUGAGGGAUUAGAUUUUUAAUGGGGGUUGUGGUCAUGGAGCUAUGUUAUGCAAAAGGGAGCAAUAUUGCCAUUAUCCCUUUAUAUUUUGUUAAUUGGAAAUCAUCUCUCUUGUAUAUUGUACUAUUAUUAAGGCGUAUCCAGCUAGUUAUCAACGUAAUAGUGUUUCAACGGGAUAGACAGUCGCUCUUGCCGUGUGGCUCCAAGCUUACCGUUGCCUUACGUGGCAGUGGUGAUCCUCUUCGAGCAAAGUAGUGAUGGAACCAUAUCAACCACGGUUGAUCUUUAUUAGGUCGGCUUCCUUGACCAUGCUGUAUAUCACCGGUAGAAGCAUUGAAAAUGGUAAAAGAAACAAUUACAACGCAUAAAUAUAAAAAAAUUAUCAUGAAUAAAUAGAAUAAGUUUAAGAUGUUGUCAUGGAGAGGAUGGUAGCGACAAAGUCCUUAAUUUUUAUUUUAAUAUUAAAAUGAUCGAUUAUUUUCUUAUCUUCACUAAUAUAAACUUAACCUUUUGGUCGGUCCAUCGUCCAUUGCCGGCUUAUUUGUACUCGGGGCUUGGAUCUUAACAUACCACCUCCAUCACAGCUGCUUUUAUAAAAAAUGUGGUUGAUGUGUACCAUCUCUUAUUUGCCUACCCCUCCCAUCGGAAUAAGAAGGGAACCGACCUAGCGUGUCAGAAAAAAUAUCCCCGUUAACUCAAAUCAAAUAAGAUAUUAGAAUUAGAAAUAUUUCUUUUAGCAGUAUUAGCCACCAUAGGAUCGAUCUCAAGAUUGCCUUCGUGGCUAGCCCAUGGCCAUCGAUCGUGAGUCGAUUGCCCACAAACCAAGCUCAUCCUACAUGCCACCAUGAGUCUCUGGUCAUUUGACCUCGCCACAUUGAUGCCUGAUGCAUCUAGCUCACUAUUGGACCUCCCCGCUGCUUGUCUGCCUCCUUGUCGACCAUAAAGCAUCUACCUCCUCUCUUUCAUCUCCAACUGCAUGACCUAAGCUUUGGGGUGCAACACCCGCCCCUUAUUUUUUUUUACCAAUCGAUGUCGCGUUGAGACCAUCAUUGAUUCAGCCCGUCGUGCCACCACAAGCGUCAUAGUAGCUAUGCAUAGCUGGUGUUUAACUAGUUUCCAUUUCCUUGGAGGCUUGUAAUGAAGUCUUGUUGACAUUACGGUCGUAAAAGACUUGUUAAGGAUGCCAAUAUAAUCUCCAACUGAAGAUAGACUUUGUUUGCAUGAGACAAUUAAUUUUGUAUGCUUGCGACUCUUGACUUGUGUUGACGCUCGUCAUUGACAUAUUUUUACCCCUGUUUAUCUUCAAUAAUGACAUAAAUUUAAUACCUAAAUUAUUGAUCACACCUAAUAAACCAGUCAUUUCCACAUGUGCAAUAUAUUUUGGAGGAUGUUCUAUUUUUGCAUGGAAUUGGACCUAAAAGCAUAUUUUUGGGUAAAAUACUGAACGUGCAUUGAACCAGACGAAGACGAAGGCUAACGGGUCCAGGAAGGGUCUGGGCCGAUCGACCCAAAGGAGCCCAGGCCGAUCGGCCUAGGGUCUUCUUGAGCGCUCCGAUGCCCAUCUUUGGCAAGCAAUCCUCUGAGAUGACUUAAGGACUAAGUUUGUGAAGAUAUGGCAAGGAUGACUUUGGGAUCAAUGAGGAAUCAAAGAAGAUCAAGUAGAGAUUUGUAAAGUUAUUGAAAAUCAAUCUCAUCCUGAAGUUACCGACGUGCCAGGCCCACAUGCAAGUGAAAAUAAGACUUCUGAGCAUCUAAGAAGACUCGGAGACGAAGCCAGACACGAGAGGCCAAAAGGAAGGCCCAGGCCGAUCGGCCUGGGGCUUUCCUUUGCCCCCUCGCCUUCCAAUUUUUGCCAUGCGCUCUCUAGACUAUAAGUACCUCGAAAAUCCACCGAGCCCCAUAAUCCAAGACAACGUACUCGACGUGAAGCAGCAGAGAAGCAAAAGGAGCUUGAGGGACACCUCUCCGGAGAGUCGAGGGCCGUGCAAUUGUCGGGGGUUAGCAUAGGCGAACCUCUUCCUGCGUGAUCACCCUGUGAGGAAGAUCACGCUGGAGUUCUAGAGCUAGGAGUCAUCAAGAUCAAGGUAGGAUCCCGAUGGUGAUCUUGUGAUGUACAAUCAUUCAUGGUAAAGUAAUGGAUGUGUUUAUGUUCUUAGCGAUCUAAGUAUCUCCUUUGAUGGUUUUAUGCUUUAUCAGGUUUGCUUGCUUUUCAAUCUAUGAAUCGAUGAAAGAUUGCUUAGGAUGUUCUUGUGGUCAUGGUGACCAGAUUUGCAUGCCUGAUCUACCGAUGAGUAUGACACGUUCUAUUGAUCAUGCCCUUAACCUGCUUGCGUUGAUAGAGGUGAACGUGAUAGGAUCUUUCUUAUGUAAAGUGGGAGGUUUCGGGAUUCGGACCGGAGGUGUAGAUUUAAAGAUGUUUUUUUACUAGGAUCAUAUUUGUGUUACUUUGCUAUCUAUGCUUGGAUUUACAACAUAUGCAUAGUCUAGAUUGCUCUAGAUUGGUUAUCUUUACUCUAUCUGUUAUCUGUUUAUAUAUGCUUAGUAGAUUGGAUCUGAAUCUCUCAUAAACACCAAGUUAAUACUAACAAUACUAGUUGAAAUAGAUCUUGUGCUAUAAGUUCCACGGAUUGAUAAACCUUGGGGAAUACUCUGAGGGAAGAGCUGCAACUGAUCCGUACGCUGGUGGUUCACAAUUGGCAUGCUAACAGCUUGCCAAAAAUGUUUUGUACUCCAUGUUGGAAUCGGAGUAAAAAUCGCAAGGAUAAGAAGAGAGAGAUGAUGAGGCUGAUUGGAAUUUGGGAAGGAAAUAGUACGAUAUGUAGAACAACUUAGCCAGUGUUGAAAUCCAGGCGCCACCGCGCCGCCACACUAGAUCCAAGUGGCAGUCCACUGAAAGAAGAUACGCCCGCAGAAGAUACCAAAGCAAAUGUCACAAGGAAGGACCACAUCGGGUUAUCCGGGACACGGGCAUUGUCGGUUGGUGUACAGAACAGGUGGCGAGGUGACGAGAGAGAAUCAAGCAUUGCUGUCGCAAAAUCAGCUUCGGGAUCCACCCGAGAAUCAGCUUUUGGUGCCGUCUUGACCUUGGACGGAAGCUCCAAAGGGGCUUUUGACUCCCUAGGAUUGCCAAAAAUGGAAAGGACGCCAUAUGUGACAUCCUAGAAGAUUGUAUUGCCGUCCCUGCAUCUGUAUCAUCAAAGAGCAGCUCACAAGACUUGGGUAAGCAUUAGUCUAGUUAGAAACACUAGGGUUCAUAGCCUCAUCAUCGUUGAUCAAGUGAGAGGGAAUAAGAAGAAGUUCUUGUUGAAGCUGUGCUGGCAUUGGGACGAAGGAUAGAGAACUAAAAAUUAUCCUUAUCAAAGACCACAUCACAAGAAAUAUACACACGACCUGUGGCAAUAUCUAGGCGCUUGUAGCCCUUAUACAAAUUGCUAUAUCCAAGAAUGGCACAUUGCUUGGAACGAAAUUGAAGCUUAUGGGUGUUGUAAGGAUGAAGGUUGGACCAACAUGCACAACCAAAGACACGAAGAGAGGAAUAAGAGGUUAUUUUCUCCAAACAAUUAUGUCAAAUAGGUGGGAAAAUCAACCCACUCUGCCUACAUGCCACCAUGAGGGCUAACUCUGAGAUUCUGAUCCGUAAGGCUUCACCACAUUGACGCAUGAUGCAUCCAGCUCAUUGCUUGGCAUCCCUACUCACUACUGGACAUCCUUAUCAGCCAUGAAAUAAAUUAGAUCAACCUAGGAGGAGCUAGACUAUUUUUCAUUAAGAAGAAUGAAAUAUGCACCCAAAUUAGGGAGAGAGGUGACGAGGCCGAUUGGAAUUUGGGAAUGAAACAUGAUGGCAGUCUGCGUAAAUAACUUGAAGUAUAGGGGUAAAUAUAUGACGGACUAAGAAACCAUUGCUCGUUUUAGAAACAAUAUCAAAUUUGCUGGUACGUGGCUACGGAUAAUAGAAAAUCACAUUGACCUAUAGUUUUUACAAGAAUUAUAUAGGUAAUUUAGAAAUCAUAGAAAAGUGAUCAUAAGUUUUGUGAUAAAUGAAAUAUUUUGGCAAUGUUUUCCGGGGGUUUGAAAUUGACAAGGAAGAAAAGUCUUAGCAUGUUGUCGGUAUGUGGGACGUGAGGAUAGAACAGAAAAUAUCCGUGAACUCGAGCUAACUAAGAUGAAGCCAAUGUGAUUUGAUAGACCUAUCUAGGUAGCACGUACGUGGAUCACAAUUUACAGCUGCAGGGUAAGGUUGUUUCCAUCCAAAUUCAAGAAACGCAGAGACUGGGCGCGCGGCUUUGGUUCCAGUUCUUCUUCGUGGAGCAUCUAGAGGUCAGUAGUCUUCAUGGCUCGGGCAGGUUGGAAAACUAAGCCAACGCCCAACGGUGCACAUCGAUGAAGGACAGCGACAUGGACGGAGGUGCUAGCUCUCGUCAAAGCAAACAGAUUGUAGCAGGCUAGUACCCUUUCGGUGGGAUAUGGCCGAGAGCUGAUGACCCACGCGGACGGUGGACGGCGGCUUGACGACAGCCGAUGAGCACAGAUUGCGAGCGGCGCCGAUGAUAGCGGUGGUGUUUGUUGGGAGAGAACAACUGGGAGGGGGAAGGGCGCUGAUGAUAGCGGACGACAAAUUUGCUGAGUGGGGCCAGCGAUAGAUGAGUUUGCAUGACACCAUAGAGAACGGGAUAUCGUACGUGUGAGGAGCAUAUGCAUAACCCUCCAUCACAGUUGCUUUAUAAAAAAUGUGGUAUAUGUGUACCAUCUCUUCCUCGCCUAACCCUCCCAUCGGAAUAAGAAGGGAACAGAGCUAGUAUGUCAAAAAAUAAAGUCCUCGUUAACUCAAAUCAAAUAAGUAUUUUCUUUAGCAGUAUGAGUCAUCAUAGGAUGGAUCCAAGAGCACCUUCAUGGCCACCACUCGUGAGUCGGUUGCCAGCAGCCUGCUGUGCCUACCAUGAGUUGGCCCCAAGGACAACUCUGAGUCUCUGGUCAUUCGGGCCUCGCCAUAAAGCAUCUACCUCCUCGUCGAUCAUCUCUAAAUGCAUGGCCUAAGCUUCGACGUGUAGCACCCGGUCCUUAUUAUUUUUACCAAUCGAGGUCGUCUGAUCUAUUGUUGAGACUAUCAUUUUUUUAACCAAAGUUAGCAGGGGAGCUCCCUACCUAUUUUUUAUUAUAAAUAUAUGAACAAAGUAUUUAAUAGGUGAGCAAAAGACUCAAAAGGAAAAAAGAGGAAGUACAAGUUUACAGACUCCUCAGCUAAGAAGAAAGUUAUAGUAGCUAUGCAUGCAUAGCUGGUGUUUAACUAGUUUCUAUUUGCUGGGAGGAUUGUAACGAACUCUUGUUGACAUCACUGGCCGUAAAAGACUUGUUAACGAUGCCAAUAUAAUCUCCAAAUGAAGAUAGAUUUUGUUUGCAUGAAGAAAAUUAAUUUUGGAUGCCUGCGAUUCUUGACUUGCCAAAAAAGUUUUGUACUCCAUGUUGGAAUCGGAGUAAAAAUCGUAAGGAUAAAAUAUCAUGAGAGAGAGAUGGCGAGGCUGAUAGGAAUUUGGGAAAGAUACUAGAUACUCCAUCCAUCCCAAAAAACAAGUUAUUGUCUUAAGUCAAACUUUCUCAACUUUGAUCAAAUUUAUAGAGAAAAGUAUCAAUAUUUAUGGCAUAGGUAUAUUAUAAAAAUAUAUCUCAUGAUAAAUCUAAUGGUACUUAUUUCAUACCAUAAAUAUAUGGAGUUUUUGCCUAUAAUCUUGGUUAAACUUAAAAAACUUUGACUUAGGACAAUUCUAAAACGACUUAUUUUUUGGGACGGAGCGAGUAUUGUAGAACGGUUUAGCUGGAUCCAGGCGCCGCCGCACCAGAUCCAAGUGGUAGUCCGCUGGAAGAAGAUACACCCGCAGAAUAUCAUGAAGCAGCUGUCGCAGGCAAGGAUCGCGUCGGGUUGUCUGGGAUAAAGGGCGCUGUCGGGUUGGUGUCCAGAACAGGUGGCACUGCAGGAAGGGACAAGAGCGAAUCAGGCACUGCUGUCGCGCAAUCAGCUUCGGGAUCCACCAUAGGAUCAGCUUCGGGUGCCGUGUCGACCUUGGACGGAAGCUCUGAAGGGAAAUUUGACUUCGUAGGACUUGCGGAAACAGGACAUUGCGCCAUAUGUGAUAUGUGACAUCCUGAAAGAUUGUAUUGCCGUCCCUGCAUCUGUAUCAUCGAAGAGCAGCUCACAAGACUCGGGUAAAGUAUUAGUCUGGUUAGAAACACUGAGUUCAUAGCCUCAUCAUGGUUGAUCCAGUGAGAGAGUAAAAGAAGAAGUUAUUGUUGAAGCCGUGUGCCGGCAUUGGGAUGAAGGCUAGAGAACGGAAAUAUAUUCUCAUCAAGGACCACAUCACAAGAAAUAUACACGCGACCUGUGGCAAUAUCUAGGCACUUGUAGCCCUUAUAUAAUGAUUACUAUAUUCAAGAAAGGCGCAUUGUUUGGAAUGAAAUUGAGACUUAUGGGUGUUGUAAGGACGAAGGUUGGGUCAAUAUGCACAACAAAGACACAAAGAGAGGAAUAAGAGGGAUUUUCUCCAAAAUAUCGUGUCAAAGGGGUGGAAAAAUCAACCUGCUCCGCCUACGUGCCACCAUGAGUUUGCCCCAAGGCAACCUUUGAGUCGUAAGGCCUCGCCACAUUGACACCUGAUGCGUCCAGCUCACU
rnacentral:lncRNA from 1 species